AAAGCGAGGGAAGAGAGCACAGGGCGGGCGGAGUGGGGUGGGCAGAGACACAGGGAAAAUCCCCAGAAACCGUCCUCGAGAGCUGAAACACGAGCAACCCUCCCCCCACCCCUCCUCGGUCCUCCGGGGGAGGACGGGGACGCCGUUGGUGCCCUGGUGGAGACGGCGCUCUCUCGUCUCGUGGGUUUGUUGUUGUGGGUUUGGGUUUGCGGGUUGUUGCGUUUUUCUGUGCUUAGUGGUUUUUAGGUUUUGGUUGUGGUUUUGGUGCUUUUUUGCUUUUUUUUUGUUUUUGUGUGUGUGUGUGUUUGUGUUUGGUUUUGUGAGCUUUUUUUUUUCUUUUUUUCUUUAAUCCUCUUAUGCUGUGUGCAUCACAGGAUCUGUAUGGCCCCAAGCGCUAGGGAAAGCUUGUUGCGGAGAUCAAGGACCCUUGCGUGUGUAUGUGUGCGGGGGGGAGCGGAGGGCCAUGGGGAGGCGAGCCGGGCCGCGGACUGGCCGGGGACAGGAGCCACAUACGGUGCGGGGACACCCGCACACGGACACCCACGCGCGGCCGGGGGGUGGGGGAAGGGAAGGUGACGUCACUCCACGCCGGCGCGGGGGGGCGCCCACGGCCACACCGACCCAGUGGGGGCGGGGGCACACGAGUGGGGCGGAGGCCGGUCCCGAGGGCUGCGGGCGCCAGCCUGUGGCGAGCAGCGCUGCCUAUUGUCUUCCUCCCCCAAAACUUCCCUAGACAAGUGAGAGUGACCGGACUUGAAAUGCGUAACUUCUUGUCCGGGUUUACACCCGGCUGGUUGAAUCACCGGGGGUCACCGGGUCUGCCAGUCCAAGUGGGAUGUCACCAAGGGUGUUAUAAAGGAAUAUUUACUUAUUCAGUCAAGCUUGUGUAUGGCAAGUCCAUAAUUUUCCUCCUGAAGAAUGGUCAGAUUUCAUGCUGAUUUACACCAUGUGUUACUUGUUGCAAUUAGUAUCGUGCUGCGGGGCUAAAAAAAGUCCCUGCUUUUCCUGUUCCGUACUGUCUAGUCCCCUACAAAGAAGGAACAGCACAUUGAACGCAGGUGAAAACAAAAGGAUUUACGUAAAAAGUGCUUUGGAAAACCUCCCUUGUUGGCUUCUAACCUUCUUCAGGAGUUUGGAAUAUAUGCCUUCCCUGCCAUGGUUUCUCCUGUGUAAAAUGGGGGUAAAGUGUUAAGAUAAACACAAAAAGCACUGGUCAGUUAUUAGGGCGACAGAACCCCAUUAAGAUCAAUGCCACAAAAGUUGUCUUACUGGCUUCCGCAUAUGUGAAGCUGCGGUGAGGUAUUAUCUUGUCCUGAGUUUAGUGCUGACUUACUACAACUUGAUCAAGACGUGUAAACCUUGAUUCUGAAAUCAGUCUUAGUGGUCCAUGGAAAGUUCAUUGCAGAUAAUUGCUACUUUUCUGCCGUGGAGAGGGAUUUGUGUAUUUUCUGUCAUAUAAUCAUAUUUUAUCAUCCCCUGGAAGGUAGUGCUGCCAACGUGAAUGGAUGGAAGUGAAGACAAACCUUGUUCUCCUCAAGUCCUAUAAAUUGCUCUCUUCUUUUGAUGCUGCCAGUUUCACCAGGAAAAUGGUCCUCCAAAUAACCUUACAUUUAAAGGAGAACUAGUCCUUUCCAAAUAGUAUCUUUCGCAAUACAGAAUGGCUUUGUAAAAAAAUUGCUUUGUAUGAAAAGGUAAAUGUAUUACAUGUAGCAUGGAUGACUACUUUUUAUUUUGUCAAAAAGAAGUAGUCAGUAGAAAGCGUAACUUUUCAAAAAGCAACUAUGGGUCCAAAGUAAAACCAAAAAAUCAAAAGUCGGGCAAAACACUGUUUUAUCUUUAUUGUAAUAAAUGUGGUUAAAUUAAAGCAACAAUUAAAUCCUCACCUUUGCCCCCUUGACUCAAAUGACUGCAGGGCUGUAUUUGCUUCAAAAUGGCAAUCCUAAAUAGGUAUUUCAGGUUUUAAUGUUACGUCCCAGCAGUUUUUAUCAGUAUACUUAGCUGUUUUAGUGCUCUUCAUGCUGUGAUCCUUGUGUGACAUUGAAGAACUGAGCAAUAAACGCAUGCAUUUUAUAUUUUUCAUGUGGUAUCACAAUGUGGAUGUGAGUUUUGGGACUACAUUUAGCUUUGCAUUAUCUUAGAGUCAUAAGCAGGUUGCGUAGCUCUUCCUUCUGUUCAGUCUGUAUGACAGUACACAUUACAACUAAAUGUGUUUCUUUCUAUAGUAGUAUUAAAACCAGAUCUUAUGGAUAUUAUUUAUGAGAUCUCCAGGCUUUGUAGUCAUGGGAAAGAAAAAAAAAGGUAAUAAAUUCAUGAAGCAGCAUUAAAACACUGUGUACUUAGUGUUGCUGUAGCGCGUAUCAUCACUUGUUAUCAGUAUCACAAAUUUAUACUUAAGAUAGUAAACAUCUAUAUGCAUAAAUGUGUUAUAUAUAUGCGGUUUGGUAAUACACCUUUAACAUUCCUUCCCCAUUAAGAGGAGAUAGCACAACAAGAAGCAUAAUUCAUCUGCUACAAACUACUCAUUAAACUGGAUUAUUUUUUUUUUUUCCUGAAAUACAUAAAACAUUCAAACACAGCAUUCUACACUGGUGUUCUAUUUUUGCCAAGAUUGCAGCAGUAUGUUACUCUUAAGCUGCUGUCAGUGUCUUCAUUGAGGCUACCUACCAACAGUCCGGGUUUGAUGUGAAGCACAUUUAAAAUUCAGAGGAGGGAGAGAAAAGGGUUGACUUCCUCUCUGCUCAUGCGAACACCUACCUGCAACCAUACUUUGAGUGACUUUUGUUGUAGCUCUUCAAGUAAAAGAUAAUUCUCCCAACCUGCAGAAGCAGCGCUUCAGGAAUCCAGAAGACAGAAAGCUUCAACUAAUGUAGAGAAACAGUUUCCCACAGCUGGCAUAUACUUCCUUUCAUACCGUGUUAUUGUGGGCUUGUCCAGCAGUACAGACAUGAGAAGUUACCUAGCACUGUCAGCAGUGAUGAUAAUUGUAGUUCUAUAUGUCAGAAAGAACAAGGACCUAAAGUUGUUUCUUGUCCUUUAGUAACUGAAGUUCAAGAAGUACCUUGUAUGUUGUGAGUCUCAGAAAGCCCUUCCCCAUCCAGGUUUUGAAAAGCUGUAUAUUGCAACCCUCGUAUUUAGUACACCAUUGCAUGCUGGUAUCCAAAACUGAUGAAAACGGAAGUAAAAACAAUUGAAAGGAGGCAUAAUGGAGAACUUUUUUAGUGACUUCUACCUUAAGAUACAAUACUAUUCUUGUACAGAAAUAGUGAAAAUAUACACUUCAAAUAUGUAGCUUAGCACACACUUCUAUACAUCUGUCUGCAAUUUUUGUAUUAGAUAUGUUAUUGAUUACCUAUACAAUAUGUAACAAAUAGGUUAUAUAGACAAAGGUCCAUGCCCGUGCAUACACAUAACAUAAUUCUGAGCAUACUCUUGGCAUUAACACUCCGCUAAAGGAAGUGAGUCUUCUAUUUAAAGUGAUGCACUUGGAUAAGCAUCUGCAGAAGCAGACAUUAAAAAUGUGGUUACAUUUCCCUCUAAGGGCUGAAUUGUUCUGCUGAAACUUUUAAAGGCUCUAUGAAGUGUAUAUUUUCAUGAGUAUAGGAACUGAAUAUAUUCCAAAGAUAUCCAAAAUACUGUUACCAAGUGGAAAGCAUUUAAAGGAAUACUAGGAGAUGGUAUUCCCAGAGCUCAGAGCUAAACCCUUAGUGAUUUCCACCUCCUUAUUAUUUACACAAGAUCCACUCCCAUUUCCUUUACAUAAAUUGCAUUCUUCUGCACAUGAUACAGCAGUGUGAUUCAGCUCUCCUUACAAAACCUCACUGGAAGUCUGAAUGCUCAGGGAGAGUGGGGUCUAGCUAGUCGACAUAACUGGGACUACAUUCAUUCAGUACCUAAAAAAUCCCUGUGUAUUUUAAGGAGACCAGAAAAAAAUAAAAGGUGGGGGUUUUUUGGUUUUUGUUUGUUUUAUAGGAAAGCCUUUAAAUAGGGAGCAGGGCUCGCAUUUGCAAACUCUAUUUUUAAUCUCCCCUUGCAGUGAAUGUUCAGGGAUAGUAAUGACACUGCAAUAUCUUCUCAAGAAUUUGGAACUUUGUCAGUUGUCCUGGUUAAAGGUUUCAUUAUUUGUUGUUGGCAGAGCACACAGGCAUGAAGCAUUCAUUAGUUUAUCAUUCUAAGUUAAUAUAUGGUACCUAUUUAAAUGUGGGAAACUCACUUGCAAAAAUAACUUGGUACAUUGUGUGCUGCUUAUUGAUUGGAAAAAAAAAAAUGACAGCAAAUGGCCAAGGAUAAAUAACUGUUCUUUUCCAGAGUUUAAUAUCAGAUCAAAACAGGUUUGUAAAAACUAUCUUGACACUAUCCAGUUCAAAACUAUGUUCCUGAAAAUGUGUUUGUCUGGAUAUAUAAAAAAGCUAUUUGUAAUUACCAUAGUUGUAGAAUAGAAUCAUAGAAUGUGAACUCAGGCUUGGGGCUGUGACAUCUCCCUGGGGAGCCUGUUCCAGGGCUCCACCAUCCUCUGGGUGAAGAACCUUUUCCUAAUGUCCAACCUAAACCUCCCCUGGCACAUCUUCCUGCCAUUCCCUUGGUUUGUGUCAUGGGUCAUCAGAGAAAAGAGAUCUCUGCCUACUCCUCCUUCUCCCCUUGUGAGGAAGCUGUAGCCACCAUUAGGUCUCCCCUCAGUCUCCUCCAAGCUGAACAGACCAAGUGACUUUAGCUACUCCUUACAUGGCUGCCUUUCACCAACGUCACAGCCCUCUUCUGGACGCUCUCCAGUAGCUUUAUACCCCUUUUAUCCUGUGGCUCCCAGACCUGCACACUGUGCUCCAGGUGAGGCCGCACCAGUGCAGAGCAGAGCAGAACAAUCACCUCCCUCACCCGGCUGGCAAUGCUGGGCUUGAUGCACCCAGGACACAGGUGGCCCUCCUGCCUGCCAGGGCACUGCUGGCUUAUGUUCAACUUGCCAUCCACCAGAACCCCCAGAUUCUUCUCUGCAGAGCUUCUCUCCAGCAUCUUGUCCCCCAGUCUGUAUGUACAGCCAGGGUUGCCAUGUCUCAGGUGCAAAAUAGUCAAAACAAAAAUGAAAAAUGCAAAUUUUGUCUCUGUUUCAAACAUCCGAGCAGGAUUAACAUAGGUAAAUCCAUUUGUGAUAUAGGUGUUUCAUUAGAAUAUCUUUAGAAACUCCUGAUCUCUAACAGACAAGGCAUUCCAGGACUCUUUGUUUUCAGACUUUGCUAAAACAUUUGAAAAAAAUUGAGCUGUUAGACUAAUCCCUUAUGAAAAUUGAUUUGUGACCACAGUAAACCAUCCUAUGUAUUUUUUGAGUCACUUCAUCUAUUUUUAAUAACUGCUGAGAUAGUUAGGAAAAGUAUUUUUGAUCAGAGUGACCAGUUUUUUUUAAAAAUAAUACUGUUUUCUGUUUAAAUGCAUUCAACAUGAAUCACUGUUGUUGGAUCAUAUUACAUACAUGAAAUUUUAUAAUAUUGUAUGUUAACUAGUAUUCUUAUAUACUUUAUGAUAUAAUCAAUCAUUAAAUAAACUUCAGGAUUAAAUUGU